CCCCCGUGCCCUAAAACCUAGGUCGACCCUUUCUUCCCCGAGCCCUCUCCCUCUCGCGAGUUCCCGCACCCCGCCGGCUUCUCCUCCUCCUCACGUGAGCACCACCGUAGCCGGCGAUCUUCUUCUCCCCCUCACGCGAAAGCUACAGUCGUCGGCCUCUCCUCACGUGAGCACCAGAGACGCAUGCCAUCGCACCCAAUGGCAUGAUAUUGCUCAAGCCGUCGCUCGCCGGAGUCUCCUAACCCCUCUACCCUACACCUAUAGCCCCGCUAGGUAUUCCUCUCUUCCGACCCUUGCUCUGCACCGAUCGAUCUACAGCGAAAGGGAAGAAAAUCCGAGCCCUAGUUUCGCCGUAUUUGGAUCUUGCUGGAUUCGGUGGAGGCUGGCAUUUCAGACAGUGAUCUCUUGCUCCAGAAUUUUUCUCUUGCUCCGGAACCUUAAUUUCGAGCUACAAUCGUGGAUCACAUCCCUGUCAAACUCAACAGCAACGUGCUGUGUUUCCGGUUGGAGAGAAAAUUUGGGCUUCACCAUAGCUCCGACUGUAGAUUUUCGGUAGCAAACAUCAUCGGCGAGCAUUUUUCGACGGUAGUGUUUCCUGGUCGGGAAUCAACAGGGAAGGUAUCGUGAGUUGUGGGGAAUUUGAUACUUAUUGUAGCUUGAUCUGUUUCUGGUUACAAAUAAUUAGGGUUUCUAAAGUUAAAUAAGAGUUCAAGUUUAUUAUUGGGUACAUGGGUAUAGCUUGAUUAUAUGUGUGGUUACAUGACUUUGAUUUACGACGAGUCACUUGACGGGUAGAUAAUUCUGGACGCUCGACCUAUAUUAAAGGCGGGUACUUCUUACUUUGACUCUCUUUAGUUCUUUUAAACUUGGUGAAUGAGCUAUUUUUAGAUAAGGAUUGUUUUAUCUGUGCUUGAUACUCCCACCCAAAUCUUUGAGAUAUUCGUUUUUAUAUCCAUAAAGUCUCUUGUUGCCAUCUAUGAUGUUUAGCAGAUAUUAGAUACCAACCUUGUAUGCUUUGAUUAUUGUUUAUUUAUGUAUCGUAUGAGCAUGUUGGCUUCAUGUAGUAUACUUGAUUCCUAUUUAUAUGUAUAUGAUGACUAUUGUAUUUUGCGCAUCAUAUCAUUACAUGCAUGUCAAUGACAAAUUCUCCCUUGCGGUCGAGAGAGUUAUUGACCAGGGCCACACGCUCAGCCACUCGAGAGAGUGGUAGUUGGAGCAUAUGCCACUUGACCUGUCGUUCCCCCACUCGCUCACUCAUGAGUAGAGGAAGCUGGAGUUGCGAGCAGCAGGGACCCCCGUCGCAGAUGUAGCUAGUUAGCUACUAUGCAACUGUCCACUCGAGAGAGUGGUAGCUGGAGUGUUGUACAGUUUGUCACUGACCUGGCCUCUCGACCAUGCAGGGGUCAUGGUACAGAGGGAUGAGUGGGAGUGACCAUUAGUGCAUACGCUUUUAUUAUUGUUAUACCUACCUAUGCUGUAGUUUCUUUGUUGUUGCUUUCUUAUGGUUACAGUUGUUCGUUUUGCCAUGUGAUACAUUUUUACUUGUUGAGCUAUAUAUGUAUCGAUCGCAUGUUGUUCGACUCCGGUUUACUUGUUGAUAUAAUGUCUUUACCUCACAUGUUACCUUCGUAGUGAUAAGCAGUUCAGUAGUUGAUCUGUAUUACUCCUGAUCUUCUAUUACCCAGCCUAGGACAUGGUUUCAGGUAUGAGCAUAUAUUACAAUUUUAUUUUAGUAUCUGCUAUUUUUCUUAUGAGACUGUAUACUGUUGACUCACUCUCUAUUUGUAUAUUAUGUUCAUGCACUAUCUUUCCUUUACCCGCUGAGUCCCAGUACUCACCACCCCACCAAUUGGUUUUUCUUUCGGUAGGUAGUAGGUAGAUGAAUCAAGGAUGCUGGGAGAGUCUUAGCUGCCACUCUCGCGUCACAUUCGAGGACAAUUUUCUUUUCGAUCUUAUUUCUAUUUGGAUGGUAUAGUGAUUUUGUGUAUCUGCUUUCUAACUAGUUGAUGUGGAUUUUGGAGUCUAGUAUGGUGAUUUCAGGUAUUUUGGUUAAUGACCUUGUUGGUCUUACAUUCGAUUUUCCCCUUGGAGUUUAUUAUGUGGAGUUUGUAUUUGUGUUGUUGUGAUUGUGGUAUAAAGCUUAGCCGGCUAGCAGUGUGUUGUUUUAGUUUGUAUGGGCUCCCUUUAUCGUUUUUCCUCUGUGUUGGUUUUUAGUACAGCCGAUUGAGCUGUUUAAUAUAUAUAUAACUGCAUGGUUGUGUUUAUUUUGUUCCAGCCGAGUGGGCUAAGUAUAUAAUUGCGUGAUUGUGUGUAAAUCCAGCCGUGUGGACUGAUGAUUAUUUUUCUUAUUUUGAGUGGUAAUGUAUAUGGUUAUAUGGUUAUGUAUGUAUCCUUCAGAUUGUUACUAAUACAGGGGAGAUGUUGCCGGAUUUUCGUCUGGCAGGGACUCCUCUGGGGCGUGACAGUACCCCAGAACUUAGAGCACAAGAAGUCGAGCGGAAGACACAGUAGACGAGAAGGAUGUCACGAGAAAGGAGCCUACGGGUUCGGUGGAUCUGAGAGAUGAGAAGCUGUGGAAGAGUACACGUGUGGAUGAGAAGGACGUGCAUAACAUUCAAGGGACAAGAAGCCAGGGAGGAAGCGUGCUCGUGGAGAAGGUCGAAGUUGGAUUUGUGUGAGCUCAACUCCAGAUAACCAGAGCAUCACCCAUGCGAAGAAGACCAGCUGGAGGAUGGUCUGCCUUGUAGAAGGCGCCUUUCAUUGCCUAUGGAAAGCGCCCUCAAUGACUCAUGGAAGGCGCCUUCAAUAGCCAUUCAUUGAAGAUAAAGCUUUAUUUUCAGCGAAUAAAACUUAUCUUGUUGGAGGCACCUUGGACUUCCCUGGAGACGCUUCCGAGCCAUAGAUAAGAUUUUUUAGGGGCUAUAAAAAGAUCCCCGGAGAUAGGAAAUUAAUAAAAACUUCAAUAUUAAUUUCCUAGUAUCUUUCUGAGCUAUCAUAAAGUGUAAGAGGCUUCCCUGCCUUCAAUAAAGAAGACUU